rnacentral:lncRNA from 1 species
GAUCCCGUGCCUCCGCCGGUGCCGAAGGCUCUGAAAAGGAAACAUAGAAACAGGGGCGUGAGAACUAUUAAAUAAUAGUUCCCAGUGGGCAAUUACUGACUUCAGUGAAAUGCGCCACUAGGCCCAAAACUACAAAAGUGGGUCAGUGUACGAGUAUAAGCCAAAGCGAUAAGAACAACUAGGAAAUAAAUAUGAAUACUGUUCAACCAUGAUAUCUCUACUUAGCAUGAUUUGCAUAAGUAAGAAGGCAGUUACUACAAGUAUGUGCACAAGAGUAUCCAACAUGCAAAUGCAUAAGUAUGCGACUAAUCCAAUGUCCACAAUGUAAAUAGUAAAGAUGUCAUUGUUUACUAUUCUAGUCAGUGUCCACUUGUCACUUUAAUUGUUUACAGUUAAACUUUGAUAAGAUCCACCCGAAGGCUAUCUGGCAUAAGACCCCCCCGAAGGCUGUCUGGCUUUACCGUGCCUAAUGGCCCCGUGGUAGUCAACAUCCCCACCCUAGGAAUGAGCCUUUCCCACGGCAAUCCACUUCGGCGCCCAAUCCCGCACGGCGAACGUAUCGCGAUGGCCAACUCCGGAGUGCCGGCUUGUAGGGAGCGACCCUCACAAGCAUGUGCGAAUGAGCACAAUGGCAAGCAUGCGUAUAAGUCUGUCACAAGUACCAAGUCCUCAUGUCUAUGAACAUGGAAUGUAUCGAAUAUCACAAAGGCCUAUCACUAUGUCAUCAUGUCUCUAACAUGGAAUAUAGUCGAUGUCCAAUGGCCUAUCACUAUGUCUCUAUGUUGCAUUUUCAUAGUUUACUAAUUUCAAGUGCCCCUUUAUGACACUAUUGUUCAAAGAGUCCAAGCAUGGUAUCUAAGUUCAUGAACACAUAAUUCUACUCAUUUCAAACAUAGGAGACAUAUUCUCAACUUGCAAGGUCAACUACCCUUCACAAAGCAUGCAGUCUACACAUAUAGCUCUACUAUAUAGAGUGCAAUUUCAUGAUAUAUAAAGCAUGCAUUUCAAGUGUUUUAAAAU